UUGGUGGUUAAGCUACUAAGGGCACAUGAAGGAUGCCUUGGCACUAUCAGGCGAUGAAGGACGUGGUAAGCUGCGAAAAGCUUCGGGGAACUGCAC
rnacentral:rRNA from 1 species